UACGGAGGAUGCGAGCGUUAUCCGGAUUUAUUGGGUUUAAAGGGUGCGCAGGCGGCACGGCAAGCCGGCGGUCAAAUCGCGGGGCUCAACCCCGCCCAGCCGUCGGAACUGCCGGGCUAGAGUGGGCGAGAAGUGCGCGGAAUGCGUGGUGUAGCGGUGAAAUGCAUAGAUAUCACGCAGAACUCCGCUUGCGAAGGCAGCGCACCGGCGCCCUACUGACGCUCAGGCACGAAAGCGUGGGUAUCGAACAGG
rnacentral:rRNA from 1 species